rnacentral:lncRNA from 1 species
AUCCUUGCCUGGGCUCCCAGGCUGAGCCGGAGGACCCCGGGGGUUCACCUAGCCCUCUGGGAUAAGGGGCUUUAGUCUCUAUAUUCUUUGGGCUUGGGGGUUGGGGACAGUGGGAGGAUUAAUUAUGGAGGCAAGGUCAGAGGAAAAGGGAAAAAUGGGAAAGAUUUUAUUUAAAGCCCCUGGUCAUUCUUGCCUUUCCGCCCGCCCACCACGACCCCUCAAGCCAGAUGCCGUCUCUAGUUCGGGAGCGUUGGAUGAGGAUGCCAGGCACUCUGCUUUUCCUAAACAACUUCCAAGAACCCCGGAACAUUUCUUAAAGUGUCUGGAACGAAGCUUUAACCUCGCCUGCUCCAUCAGCCUGGGACGGAAAAGACGCGAGGGGCGAAGAAGAGGUGGGGCACGGGGAGCCCGGGCCGUUCGGCGUAAGUGAUCCAGGCUUCCAGCGCCCCGGGCGCACCCCGCGGAAAGGCGUCUGGGAGUCGGGGACGUGCGGGGGGAGACCACCCGGCCAACCCCGGGGGAUGAGCUGCAAGGCUGGCCACGCCCGGCAGGAGACUGCGCGCAGAGACCCGCCCGGGGAAGCACGGGAGGAGGGAGGGCGGCCAUGUACAACCCCUGGCAGGUGGGAGCCUCCCUGGCGCCAGCUCGGGCAGGGCCACGCCCCUUCCCAACUCCCCGCGCUCGGCCUCCGGACUGCUCAGGGGGCCACGCCCCUUCCGGAUUCCCCGCGCUAGGCCUCCGGACCGCUCAGCGGCCCCGCCCCUUCUCGAGUUCUCCGCGCUCGGCCUCCGGACGGCUCAGGGGGCCACGCCCCGUCGCCCGGGGCCCCGCCCACUCCUCAAGCCCCACGGGACUCCCAGCCUACCUCCCUCCCGCUGCCGCACUGGACUCCCAGACCUCGGCACCAACCGUAUCUCCUGUUACUCGCCCCAGGGUGGUUGCCCGGGGAAAAACUCCAAGGGUUUCACUGGCUGGCCUGGAAACCCUUUCAUCUUUGCUCCAUCAGCAGCAGCUCUUUGAUUGAGUUCUCCUGGCUUUAGAGCCUCCCACUAUGGUCAUGCUGCAAAUUCCCGUGGCCAGCACCCGAGGCCUGCUGGCUCCGAUCUGGGCCACGUGUACAACCAGGUGUGCCCCCUUAGCCUCACGCCCUCCUCCUGUUGCCUCCCCAUCCCUCUAGCCUUCGGGACUUGGGGUUGCAAUGAAUCUUAGGUUUUUUCCAGGAGUCUUUUAUUCCUCCAGCGUCUCCGUGCGCCUGUCCGCUCCAACACCUGACAUUUUCCUUCAACUCCACCCUCCCCUCCCCGAGUCCACAGACACACACCCACCCACACGCCUCUUCCCUUCCCCUCCACCCUCAGUCAGCGGCAGAGUCAGUCCAUCCAAUAGGCAGGAGCCCAAAAGACUGUCCACGGACAGCUGUCCUCUCGCCCAGGAGAGUGGGGCUGCACACAGCAGCAGGCCCAGGAGGAAAUCGUGCUUUGAUAGCCCCAGGCAUCGUAUUUCAUCGUAUUUCACAAUUAGGUCUACAAGCCAGGUUCAAGGCCACCAACUGAGGCACCUGUCCCGAGACAGGACCAUUCUAAUCUGCCCUGAAAAGGACAUCCCAUUGAUCAUGUAAGUAUGUACUGAGAAUCUACUGUGGGCAAGACAUUGGUCUUCGCUGUGGGAGAUACAAAAACCAUUCAGGCAUGGCCCUUGCCUUUUUCAUGCCAAGAAAAGCUGAAGUGUGUGGUCAGAAAUUGCAUGUGGUUUCUGGGACUUACUGCCCUGAAGCACCCUGGGUGUAUCGGAUGGCCUCAGGGAACACAGUUUGGGUAUGGGCAGUAUUUUCAUGCCCAUUGCCAUUCCCUUCUGCCUCAAGUGUAUGUGGGCUUUCCCUGCAGUCAGCCAGCAGGCCAGGCCAGGGUGGCUUUGUUUCUGUCUCUGACCCUUUCUCUUCAGACUCCAAAUCUGCAGGUGCUGGAGACUUUGAAGGAGUCUCCGUUUCCCUUGGUAGAAACAAGAGGUAGGAACAAGCAGGUGGAAAGCCAGGGUUACUCCUUCCAGCCAAUGGGUCUGGGGCUGCAGCACACAAAGUUGACAUCCCGAAAGGCCAUUUUCCUCGAUCGCUUCAGACCUGGCAUUGGGUGGACAGACCACAUGAUUCAGCAUCCAAAUUGGAGAUCUCUCAAUAACAGAAAGAGGUGCCAUUGAUAAUUUCGUGGAACUUUCCUGAGCACACCAGGGUGUGCUCAUUCUUCCUGAGGGGUCAUCUCCCUUGGGCAUCGUAAGAGGCACCACUGAGACACAACAGCUUUUGUCACCAUUUCCCAAUUGUGUCCCAAGCUCUCUGUCCUCUUCCCUGUGCUGGUCAUCUCACAGUCUUCUUCUGCAGGUAGAUCCCCCCUACUUCAGCCCUUCCUCCCACCUCAGCUCCUUUGUUCCCGCUGCCAUGCCCAGAACAACCUAUAUUUCCACUCUCCAACCUUGGAUCAACCCAACUGUGUUUUCACGCUACUAUGUCCAGGAUACUGGAUGAUACUAGAGAUAGCCAUCAGUAACAUUCAUUACAUGAAUAAGUCUGGGUUGAUCCUGUGACACAGUUAUGCCUUCUACCCUCUGCUGCUUCUCAACAUUGCUCAGUCCUUAUGUUGGUGUUCUCAUUUCACAUGAUAGAGUUCCAAACCUUUUGUAGCCCGAAUCGUCAUCUAUCCCCUAAUUCUUGGAAAAGACCCUAACUUCACCAAUAGCAACAACAAUCAAAACCAACUGAACAAACAAAAAAAUACUUAAGAUACGAACCUCUCAGAUUUUCUGAACUCUCCACCUCCAGACUAAAUUUGUGGAUGGAUACCUAUCUGUUGACCAGACCCUCCCUCUUCAAUGAAAACUGCCUCUCCUUCCACUCCAUCUGUGAGGCACCCUUGGAUGCUGACAUGUGCUUACAUAGGACUUCCUGUCCACAGCCAGAAUUAGCCAGAAUUCACUGACCCAUGGUUGGACUCCUAAAAUACUCAAGAUGAGAGACAUGUUACUUUUCUUUACUAUAGUAACUAUCAAAUGCAUCCCAUAACCUUAUGUUGUAAAUGUCAAAUAUGCACAAUAAAAUUUAUUUGAAAAAAUAAAGCUGGAAAAUUGAAAGUAAUGAAUGUUCAGUUAAAAUCUGCAAACAAGCUAAUAAAUAAAUACUCAAGAUGGCCCAGUGACAGCCUUUCUCUAGAGUUUUUGAUUUGAGGCCAAGAAGGUUAGUGCAGCCUUUCUCCCAUGGCUGUCACUGUGAAGAUAAACAUUUGGGAAUUGAUGGCAGCCUUGUUUCUCCACCAGGCUGAAGAAACUAGGACCUGCGGGGGCUGAGACUGGAGUGAAACAGAUGUGAAGAGAAAAGUCCUGGGUCCAGGUGGUCCUGGGGCCCAGCCAUGCUCUUGUUUUUUUUUUUUUGUUUGUUUUUUGUUUGUUUGUUUGUUUGUUUUGUUUUAAUAGAUUUAAAUUGGUUCCUGCCAGGUACAGUCAAAGGCCUUUUUACCUGCUUCUCAGAGAAUUUCCCUCCGCCUGCCUGUGGCUAAUUCCUUCUCCUGCACCCUUGGUUCAGCCUCACCUGGCGACCCUUGUUCCAUCACUUCCACCACUUCUCUAGAAUCUUCAGUCAUUUCAGCAAUACAUAUGUUCAUCUUCCUGCCCAAAAACUGAAUAAGCAAAGACUUUCUUUCAUCUCUGACCCUCUUCAACUUCUGCCCUUCCCUUCUACUCACUAUCUCUAUUUUCUCACCUCCUACUUAAUGCCCAAUCUGCUGCUGCUAUCUUGCUCCAUUUCUUCUUCCCAUUUUCCUGAGGCUACUCUCUUGACAGGGAGUGCAUUGCAGAAUAUGUCCAAUUUCUUGUGUUUAUGUUACUUGUCUGCAGCAUCUGGCAUCAGUAACCACCUCCUCUUUCUCAAAACUCCCACUGCACUUGAUGGUUUUCCUGCUGGUUCUUGACCUGAUGCAGAAAAGCUUGACCUGCAGAAGCUGUACUAGAAGCAAUCAGGAUCUAAAGCUCUAGACUUUUCCAACCUGCCUCUCAUUGCCAUAAAAAUGCAACUGGCCUGUGUCUCCUCUCCUGGUGCACUGCUAAGGGAGGGCUGACUGAUCUAAUGAGAUUACUGGAGCUAAGGCAUUCACAGGUGAGUUAUUUUGAUAUUUUAAUAACAGCUCUCAAGACUUAGCUCAGUAUCUCUCAAAGUUGGAUUACAGUGGAAGGGAGUGGUGGGGAGCCGGUAUAGGAUGGAAGAAAGGGUUGAGAAUAUAUUGUUGAGAGUCUAAGAGUUUUUGAGACAUUUAAUUUUUGUAUUUUCACUUUAAUGUUAAUCAGUGCUUGAUCAUGCAUUUUAAUUUGCCAUUCCACUGGCACCCAAGUAAUCACCAACUUUUGGUGCAAUAUUUCAAAACUGGGGUGUAAUCUCAAAGAUUCAGAUAAUUUUUUUCUUCUAACAUGAAUUGCUUUGUUCCUCAAAUUGGGAAGUACUAACUUAAGUACUUAAGGCAUUGUAGGAAUGCGAGUGUUGUCUAUGUAUCUGGCAGCAUCAAGAGGAGAGACACAGAAAUGUAAGACCUAAGUCCUGCCUUCAAAAACCCACAUGCUCAUUGGAAAAACAACACAGAAACACUUAAAAAAUGAAAUUCAAGCAUGAAGUAACAGCGUGAGGUAUGUCACAAAGUGGUAUGUUAUUAUUUUUUUUUAUGAGGUGGAAUCUCACACUGUCACUCAGGCUGGAGUGCAAUGGCAUGAUCUCGGUUCACUGCAACCUCCACCUCCCAGGUUCAAGUGAUUCUCCUGCCUCAGCCUCCUGAGUAGCUGGGAUUACAGGCGCCCACCACCAUGCCCAGCUAAUUUUUGUAUUUUUUUAUUAGAGACGGGGUUUCACCAUCUUGGUCAGGCUGGUCUCGAACUCCUGAC